rnacentral:rRNA from 1 species
GAUGAACGCUGGCGGCGUGCCUAAUACAUGCAAGUCGAGCGAACAGAUAAGGAGCUUGCUCCUUUGACGUUAGCGGCGGACGGGUGAGUUACACGUGGAUAACCUACCUAUAAGACUGGGAUAACUUCGGGAAACCGGAGCUAAUACCGGAUAACAUAUUGAACCGCAUGGUUCAAUAGUGAAAGGCGGCUUUGCUGUCACUUAUAGAUGGAUCCGCGCCGUAUUAGCUAGUUGGUAAGGUAACGGCUUACCAAGGCAACGAUACGUAGCCGACCUGAGAGGGGGAUCGGCCACACUGGAACGGAGACACGGUCCAGACUCCUACGGGAGGCAGCAGUAGGGAAUCGUCCGCAAUGGGCGAAAGCCUGACGGAGCAACGCCGCGUGAGUGAUGAAGGUCUUCGGAUCGUAAAACUCUGUUAUCAGGGAAGAACAAAUGUGUAAGUAACUGUGCACAUCUUGACGGUACCUGAUCAGAAAGCCACGGCUAACUACGUG